rnacentral:rRNA from 1 species
AGGUUUUGCCUGCCCAGUGACUAGUUAACGGCCGCGGUAUUUUGACCGUGCGAAGGUAGCGCAAUCACUUGUCUUUUAAAUGAAGACCUGUAUGAAUGGCGGAACGAGGGCUUAACUGUCUCCCCUUUCAAGUCAAUGAAAUUGAUCUGCCCGUGCAGAAGCGGACAUAUAAAUACAAGACGAGAAGACCCUUUGGAGCUUAAGAUAUAAAAUCAACUACGUCAAGGGCACACAAGCCAAACUAAAUAGCACCUGAUAGGUAUCUUCGGUUGGGGCGACCACGGGAGAAAACAAAGCUCCCAUGCAGACUGGGGUUACACCCUAAAACCAAGAAAGACAUUUCCAAGUCACAGAACAUCUGACCACAAAGAUCCGGCCACCCGCCGAUCAACGGACCAAGUUACCCUAGGGAUAACAGCGCAAUCCCCUUUCUGAGCCCAUAUCGACAAGGGGGUUUACGACCUCGAUGUUGGAUCAGGACAUCCUAUUGGUGCAGCCGCUAUUAAGGGUUCGUUUGUUCAACGAUUAAAGUCCUACGUGAUCU